rnacentral:rRNA from 1 species
UACGUAGGGUGCGAGCGUUAAUCGGAAUUACUGGGCGUAAAGCGUGCGCAGGCGGUUCGUUGUGUCGGUGGUGAAAGCCCCGGGCUUAACCUGGGAAUGGCCUGGAAACUGGCGAACUGGAGUGUGGCAGAGGGGGGUGGAAUUCCGCUGUGUAGCAGUGAAAUGCGUAGAGAUGCGGAGGAACACCGAUGGCGAAGGCAGCCCCCUGGGCUAGCACUGACGCUCAGGCACGAAAGCGUGGGGAGCAAACAGG